CCUUUUUUUUUCUCUCCACCUCUUUCUCCCGAAAAAAAACUGCUCCCUCCCCUCCCCCGCACACCUCUCCCCAUGGCCCCGUCGCCCGUCGCCCCCGCCGCUCCACGCGACGGAGGCCAUCUCUCCCCUAUUUCCCUCUUCUCCCAUCCCACAGGGCAAGUGCGUGGCAGAGCAAGGAAGGACGACCGACAUCUCUCUCUUCUCCCUCGCCCCGCUGCACCUCACCACAGCCUCACGCUUCCAGACGCUCGCCUCGAAGGAGGCAGCCGCCUCAACCGUCUCCACGCCCAGUGGGGCGCGGGGAGCGGGCUGCUCUCGCUGCUCGACCGGGCGCUUACCGUCGAGGAGCAGUACUGCCGCCAGCCCGCCCAGGUGCAGCGCAAGGGCAUGGAGGCGGAGGGGUUUGGCAUAGAGGGGAUCUCGACGGGCGGGCACGAGACCUGCGUCACUGCGCCGUCCCCAUUCUGUGGCAGUGGUUGAUUCAGCAACGAUAUGUACACUGCUGACAUUUUUUUGUUUCAGGAGCUUGAGUAUUAUCUUCAUCUAAUUGCUUGUCAAGUUGCUAAUUGGAGUCUUCAGAUUCUUAGUCACAUUGAUCCACAAAUUGUCAAGCACACAUGGUAUAGCCAUCAAGUUCUGGGAUAUUAGCUGGUAAUUGAACUAUCAAACUUGGUAAUGUUCACAUAAUGGUUUCCAUCAUCUAUCUGAUUCUGUUUCCAAACUUUCCAUUAUAGUUGUUUGUUUGUCCACAGAUUAUGUGUACUCUUGGAUAAGAAAUCUAUUCAGUCUAUGACACUGCAUCCAAAAGAGUUGGUACCCACGAGUUCAUUUUCCUACUUUGUACAUUGCUGGAAGCCUAGAACCUUUAAAAUAAUUUAUAUUAUGUAUGAAAUCAUUUGCAUCAGCAGCUGCCGACAACAUAAAAAUGGUUAGCCUUCCAAUGCAAAAUUCUGCACAUUUUCACCUUGUUUAUAAGUGGAACGGUUUGUUAUUUAUUUAGCUGUAAUUCCAAACAUUUAAGUACUGCACUAUAUGUUCAUGCUACUCAAACUCCAUUUUUUAUAAUCAAAAUACGUUUAGAACUAAUUUUUUGUUUGCUUGAUGCCCUUUUUUUGUGUGAAUUUUACAAUUUUCUUGGUGGUGCAGUGAUUCUUUUUUUCUUGGAAAGACCGGCAUCUUCAAUCUUUUUUGCUUGGGACUUAUGACUUGAAGCAUGAAUUACUAAUUUCAUUUCUAUAUAUUAGCAACUGAACUUGUCCCCUUGUAUGAAACUUCUCCCAUGCAGGCUUUAAGUUUUCAAGUGCAGGCAGUCUUUUAACAAGGGAUGUAUGUCAGUAGUGAUAUGCCGAAUACCAUGGAUAUAUGUUCACUGCAGAUAAGUUCUUUUCCUGAAACUUACAAGCACAAACUUACUUAGUCAACUCAAAUCUUCGCACGGUUAUAAAUACAAUACUUUACUAUAAGCAAUAAUGCUUGAAUUUUUAUCAGUUUUCAACACUAUCCGAUUCUUCGAACCAUUCUCUAAAAAUAAAAAUGAACUCCUUGAGUGCUUUCUUACCAGUGCCUCUGGCCAAGCUUGUUUUUUUUCCUAACCUUAUUAUAAUCCAGUAUUUCAUAUGCCAUCUAAUGAUCCAAGGUCUUUAUAGGAAAAACAAUGGCACUUUUAAUGCAAGUUCACUGGACGACUACCAUAUCUUACUAUACUUUUGAUUGCUUGGAUGAAGUUGGAUGGGAGAUCCCCAUCCAGUUUUUAAAAGCCAUGAUUUUGUUUCAUUGGUUGGGUGAACAAGAUAGUAUACCAUUAAAACUAAUUUAGCUCCAACUAGGGCAAACAAUUUGGUAAAGAAACUGAGUGAGCUGGGCCAUUUCUUGCUCGCACUGGUUAAGCUUAAAUUUCCAUUUGAUAUUCAUUUCUUAAGUAAUAAAGGAAUUCCAUGCAAAAUUCUGCACCAAGCAUGAGCCUUCAAAGUUAAGCAUAACAGUCUUUGAUGAUACAAUGAGAAGGAAAUUUAAGCCAACAAUGCUGCUGAUUGGUGGCUCUGCUGCCUCCAAUGCUGCUACUCUUGGAUCAUUACUCAAGUAUGUCUUGCAUACAUGAUCGUUGAUGUAGGUGUUGCAGCUUCUUCAGUGCAGUAUACACUGACUAACCGGGAGCACACUUGAAUUACAUGUUUUCUCCUUUCAGCACGCUUGCUUGCUGUCAGCUAUCGUGCAGAAACUUUAAUCUAUUGUGCAGAAUACAUUUCUUCAGAGAAACCGUUGUUGUGUACAGAAUAUAUUUCUUCAGAGAAUGUGUUAUUGUGCAGAAACUACAAUGAAGUUGUCGGCGGAGAAGAUCCAGUGAACCCAACUACAACAUUCCCCCUUUUCUUUAGAGAUGAAGGGACCAUUUGUACUCUCUCCGUGCCAUGCCUGCGUGCAUGAUUACUCAGUAUACUCAUGUUCAUUUUUGUUAUGUUUCUGAACAUGUAUAUCAUUUAUGUGGGUGAACCGGUGGUGUCCUUUAAAAAUACAUAUUGUUGUGCAUCAAUUUCUUCAUGGUCA